GUAAGGAAUAUUGGACAAUGGAGGCAACUUUGAUCCAGCCAUGCCGCGUGAAGGAAUAAGGCCCUAUGGGUUGUAAACUUCUUUUAGACGGGACAAAACCCCUUUACGUGUAAAGGGUUGAUGGUACUGUCAGAAUAAGCAUCGGCUAACUUCGUGCCAGCAGCCGCGGUAAUACGAAGGAUGCAAGCGUUAUCUGGAAUUAUUGGGUUUAAAGGGUGCGUAGGCGGACUAAUAAGUCAGUGGUGAAAGCCUGCAGCUUAACUGCAGAAUUGCCAUUGAUACUGUUAGUCUUGAGUACAGUUGAGGUAGGCGGAAUGUGUCAUGUAGCGGUGAAAUGCUUAGAUAUGACACAGAGCACCGAUUGCGAAGGCAGCUUGCUAAGCUGUAACUGACGCUGAGGCACGAAAGCGUGGGGAGCAAACG
rnacentral:rRNA from 1 species